CCUACGGGAGGCAGCAGUGGGGAAUAUUGCACAAUGGGGGAAACCCUGAUGCAGCGACGCCGCGUGAGGGAUGAAGUAUUUCGGUAUGUAAAGCUCUAUCCGCAGGGAAGAAAAUGACGGUAACUGAAUAAGAAGCCCCCGCUAACUACGUGCCCGCAGCCGCGGUCAUACGAAGGGGGCAAGCGUUAUCCGGAUUUACUGGGUGUAAAGGGAGCGUUGACGGCGUUGCAAGCCGGAUGUGAAAGCCCGGGGCUCAACCCCGGGACUGCAUUUGGAACUGUAUAGCUGGAGUGUCGGAGAGGCAGGCGGAAUGCCUGGUGUAGCGGUGAAAUGCGUAGAUAUUAGGAGGAACACUAGUGGCGAAGGCGGGCUGCUGGACGAUGACUGACGUUGAGGCUCGAAAGCGUGGGGAGCAAAAAGGAUUAGAUACCCCUGUAGUC
rnacentral:rRNA from 1 species